AACAUGGUGCUAUUUGGGCUAAAAAAACUGGUUCAUUCCACAUCACUGCUUAAAUAAUAAAAAGCAAAUUG
rnacentral:ribozyme from 1 species